rnacentral:rRNA from 1 species
UACGGAGGAUGCGAGCGUUAUCCGGAUUUAUUGGGUUUAAAGGGUGCGUAGGCGGAAUAUCAAGUCAGCGGUAAAAAUUCGGGGCUCAACCCCGUCGUGCCGUUGAAACUGAUGUUCUUGAGUGGGCGAGAAGUAUGCGGAAUGCGUGGUGUAGCGGUGAAAUGCUUAGAUAUCACGAAGAACUCCGAUUGCGAAGGCAGCGUACCGGCGCCACACUGACGCUGAGGCACGAAAGCGUGGGUAGCAAACAGG